UGGGGUAACAAACGAGCUAGCCUUUGUCCUGCAUUGUUGUCCUUUGCUAAUGCGCUCUGCUGCUUGACUGAGCUGAACCAGUGGAAACAUGGCUUUGUUUUCAGAGGUUUUCUUAGAGCUAAUGCUGACUUCUAAUGAGGGAUUGCUAAUGGGGAGUUUCAGGGUGACAUAAGCAACGUUUACUCAGGUAUUUUCUUCUUGCAAGGAGGCAGCAGAUGUGCCGGCAGCUCCGUGGGAAGUUCAUGUCCCUCCAGCUUGACCUUAAUCAGGUGAUUGGCCAAGGCAAACUCCUCGUCGUCGAGCAUCCCGUCCUUGUCGAUGUCCGCCAGCUUCCAGAUCUUUCCCAGCACCGUGUUGGGCAGCUUGGACUUGACCAUCUCCCUCUUGGCGUUGGCCCCCGUCACCUUGCCGUUGACGGGCGACAGCGUGUAGAAGAUCUCGUCGUAGGCCGGCUUGUCGCGCGCCACCACCCACUCGGCCUCGUCGAUGCCCUCGCCGGCCCCCUCGCCGUAGCCGUGGCCGAAGGGGCCGUUGAGGGUGCCAUCGAAGGCGCCUCCCUUGACGACGGGGUUGGGCCGCUGGUUUUCCUCCUGCCGCACCAGCACCAUCAGGCCGGCGAUGUCAUGGGCCAGCAUGUCGUCCACCGCCUCCAGGAGUUUGGACUUGAGAGGCUGGAACUUGGUUUGGGAAAUCUCCAGGCAUCUCUUUCUUCAGGGAGCUGAUAAUGUAGGCAUGCACCUGCGUGACAAGACAAGACAAGAUGCCAAUCAGGACAACACCGCCAUGGUGGACGGGGCCGAAGCUCAGAAGAGAAACUCAGCCACUUCAUUAGGGCCUUGAUAACCUCCGAAAACUCGUCGGAAAUGUCCAGUUUGUGGGCGUCGAACAGGAGGAUGAUCCUGUCCACGCGUUCAGCGAACCACUCCAGGACGGCUGCAAAGUCGUAGCCUGGGAAGGACAACGGAUCCCCGGGGUGUCAAUCACACUGAUGCUCUCCAGCACAGGCGUCAGAACGUGGAGGGGGAAGGCGUACCUGUUGAGGAAGGCGUUCCCAAAGGCGUUCAGCUUCCUGAAGGGCUUCUUGGGGUCCACCACCAGGGCGUUGCCGGGCACCACCCCCUCGGUGUCGCCGUGCAUCACCGCGAUGAAGGAAUCCGUGGUGGGUUCGGGGCCGAUGCGCAUCCCAGGAAAAUCCUGCUCCAACAGGUAGCUGUGGGCCAAGUGAGGCAUUCAAUAACAAGAUAUUCAAGAUACAACUAUUAAAACAACUUUUUCAAGUUACCAACAAGCAGUACAGUUGGGUCCAAACCGGCACGGUGCGCAAUUAUGGUGGUUUCCAUUUAGAAAAACUACAGUACCUUCUACGCUGCGUCACUACCCACUACCCUGUUGGUGACAAACAACAGGUAAACACACUGUACAACUUGUAUUGCAGUAUUCACUGACUAGACACUGAAAAUGACACCUCACAGUGUCCAAAUUGUGCCCCAAGCCUCAAAAUGUUGUGGCUCACAUGCUUUGGAGGUGUGUUUAGUUUUGUUAUCUUGCGAGAAAACAGUUCCCGCAGGGGAAGGGAAUAUAUGGUACACUGUAACCAUCGGGCAGAUGGCUCCUGGUGGCUUUAAAGGCUCCGUCUAAUCCGCCCGUAGAAGAUGCCAAUUUAAGUUAAUGCUCUUUAGUGGAAAGAUCUUUUUAGUAAAACUCCCUAAACAAACCACGCCCCAGUCGUCAAAUUGCAUUGUUUUAAUCAAUCUUGUCUGGAUGAAAUCCCCUCAGUCAAGAGCAGGGAGGAGAUCCAGAGCUGCAAAUAUCCACAAGAAUUCUACUCAGCGUGUUUGGAGGCAAGCUGGUGACUGGCUGAUGAUGAUGCAAAACAGCCCAGCUCAGAAGAGUCAACAGCGUUAAAGAGCAGGAAUGUCAGCAAAGCACGCUACAGCACGUGUAUCCAUCAUCCAUUUCAUGAUUAAAUGUCACAGUUUUAAACAUUUGUGGCUAUGACAAGUUAUAGCAACUUCAAGUCAUUUUUCAAAUAAUUUUAAAGCAUACAUUAAAAUAUAUUUUUACUGGACUUUUCCAGAUUUUUUGUAUAACUCAAUUAUAAUACAAAUUUGAAAUAUAUAUUAUUAUGAAUUAUUAUGAUGUCAGAAUUUAAAACUGUUGAAUUCUUUUAGA